UAAGGAAUAUUGGUCAAUGGACGCAAGUCUGAACCAGCCAUGCCGCGUGAAGGAUGAAGGUCCUCUGGAUUGUAAACUUCUUUUAUCUGGGACGAAAACGGGAUUUUUAUCUCAAUUGACGGUACCAGAGGAAUAAGCACCGGCUAACUCCGUGCCAGCAGCCGCGGUAAUACGGAGGGUGCGAGCGUUAUCCGGAUUCACUGGGUUUAAAGGGUGCGUAGGUGGGCAGGUAAGUCAGUGGUGAAAUCUCCGGGCUUAACCCGGAAACUGCCGUUGAUACUAUUUGUCUUGAAUAUUGUGGAGGUUAGCGAAAGAUGUCAUGUUGCGGUGAAAUGCUUAGAUAUGACAUAGAACACCAAUUGCGAAGGCAGCUUACUACACAAUCAUUGACGCUGAGGCACGAAAGCGUGGGGAUCAAACA
rnacentral:rRNA from 1 species